GUCCCCCCCCUUAUUCUGAUUUAGGGUCCCCACCCAUCGCUCAGGGGUGGGGGCCAGGGGGGAGGACAUUAGGUCCCCCCCCAUUAUUUUACAUCAGGGCCCCCACCUGCUGCUCGGUGGAUGGGGGCCCUGAUGUAAAAUAAUGGGGGGGACAUA